CCGCGGAGCAGCGGCGGCGGCCACACUGCGCAUGCUGCUGCCGCCCGGUUCGGCCCCGAGCCCCGGGCUGCCGCCGCCUGGCCUGCAGCGGGUCUCUGCCAGAACCUCGGGUGGGAAUCCCGGCCUCACAGAGCAGCCCUGCCUGAUGGCCCGCUUCCUCCUCCAGCCCCCGACGCAGCUCGGACCCCCCAAGCUCUAUGGUGAGCCGCUGAGACACCCCAGCAAGGAAGCGCUCUCCAGCGGCCCUCCACAUCCCUCCUUUCCCCCAGCUGUCCUGGCUGCCCUUCCCGGACUCUCGGAUAACAGGCCCCACAUCAGAUCGUCCCUUUGAUGGAGAAUGAAAAGAUGAGGAACCUGGAGCAGAGAGAGGCCAAGUAACUUUCCCCAGAGUCACACAGUCAGAGCCAAGACUCUGACCCAAGUCUGUCAACCUAGAGAAGGAUAUUAGUUCCCUGACCAAGGAUGGAACACUUUCUCCCUGCAGGGGAGGCACGCAGAGUCUCAACAACUGGACCACCGGGGAAGUCCAGAAGAAAGAAAGUCGAAGUCUAGAAAGAGAUUAAAGUAGGAGCGUCCCGUGACCCAGGCAAUCAAAAAUCUCCAGAGUGACAUUAUUGCUGCUCUCUUGUGGUAAGCAACCCCAAAGAUACUGCAAAUUUCCCUUACCUUUUCUAUAGAGCCAGGCCUAAGUCUGUUGAUCAGUUUGCAUAGCACUACCCCAUUUUUCAGCGAGGACUU